UUCGAUGAUGAGCCUCCAUCCCAUGCUGAAGGGUGAUGAGUGCACAUCAGGCUGAGC
rnacentral:snoRNA from 16 species